GGGCCUGUAGUUCAGUGGUAGAACACUUGCCUCACAUGUGUGAGGCACUGGGUUCAAUUCUCAGCACCA
rnacentral:tRNA from 1 species